AACGCUGGCGGCAGGCCUAACACAUGCAAGUCGAACGGUAACAGGAAGCAGCUUGCUGCUUCGCUGACGAGUGGCGGACGGGUGAGUAAUGUCUGGGAAACUGCCUGAUGGAGGGGGAUAACUACUGGAAACGGUAGCUAAUACCGCAUAACGUCGCAAGACCAAAGAGGGGGACCUUCGGGCCUCUUGCCAUCGGAUGUGCCCAGAUGGGAUUAGCUAGUAGGUGGGGUAACGGCUCACCUAGGCGACGAUCCCUAGCUGGUCUGAGAGGAUGACCAGCCACACUGGAACUGAGACACGGUCCAGACUCCUACGGGAGGCAGCAGUGGGGAAUAUUGCACAAUGGGCGCAAGCCUGAUGCAGCCAUGCCGCGUGUAUGAAGAAGGCCUUCGGGUUGUAAAGUACUUUCAGCGGGGAGGAAGGGAGUAAAGUUAAUACCUUUGCUCAUUGACGUUACCCGCAGAAGAAGCACCGGCUAACUCCGUG
rnacentral:rRNA from 1 species